rnacentral:rRNA from 1 species
CCCAGACUCCUACGGGAGGCAGCAGUGGGGAAUAUUGCACAAUGGGGGAAACCCUGAUGCAGCGACGCCGCGUGAGUGAAGAAGUAUUUCGGUAUGUAAAGCUCUAUCAGCAGGGAAGAAAAUGACGGUACCUGAUUAAGAAGCCCCGGCUAACUACGUGCCAGCAGCCGCGGUAAUACGUAGGGGGCAAGCGUUAUCCGGAUUUACUGGGUGUAAAGGGAGCGUAGACGGUGAUGCAAGUCAGAAGUGAAAGCCCGGGGCUCAACUCCGGGACUGCUUUUGAAACUGUGUGACUGGAGUGCAGGAGAGGUAAGCGGAAUUCCUGGUGUAGCGGUGAAAUGCGUAGAUAUCAGGAGGAACACCAGUGGCGAAGGCGGCUUACUGGACUGUAACUGACGUUGAGGCUCGAAAGCGUGGGGAGCAAACAGGAUUAGAUACCCGCGUAA